CAGUAGCCGCGGUAAUUCGUAGGUGGCAAGCGUUGUCCGGAAUUAUUGGGCGUAAAGGGCUCGCAGGCGGUUUCUUAAGUCUGAUGUGAAAGCCCCCGGCUCAACCGGGGAGGGUCAUUGGAAACUGGGAAACUUGAGUGCAGAAGAGGAGAGUGGAAUUCCACGUGUAGCGGUGAAAUGCGUAGAGAUGUGGAGGAACACCAGUGGCGAAGGCGACUCUCUGGUCUGUAACUGACGCUGAGGAGCGAAAGCGUGGGGAGCGAACAGGAUUAGAUACCCCCGUAGUCCCUGUCUCUUAUAC
rnacentral:rRNA from 1 species